AGUCGAGGGGUAACAUGAGAGCUUGCUCUUGAUGACGACCGGCGCACGGGUGCGUAACGCGUAUGCAACCUACCCACAACUGGAGCAUAGCCCGGAGAAAUUCGGAUUAAUACUCCAUAAUGCAGGGGUACCUCCUGGUACUAUUUGCUAAAGAUUUAUUGGUUGUGGAUGGGCAUGCGUCUGAUUAGUUUGUUGGUGAGGUAACGGCUCACCAAGACCACGAUCAGUAGGGGGUCUGAGAGGAUGAUCCCCCACACUGGCACUGAGAUACGGGCCAGACUCCUACGGGAGGCAGCAGUAGGGAAUAUUGGGCAAUGGGCGAAAGCCUGACCCAGCCAUGCCGCGUGAAGGAUGAAGGCCUUCUGGGUUGUAAACUUCUUUUAUAUAGGAAGAAAAAGGUCAUGCGUGACCAAUUGACGGUACUAUAUGAAUAAGCACCGGCUAACUCCGUGCCAGCAGCCGCGGUAAUACGGAGGGUGCAAGCGUUGUCCGGAUUUAUUGGGUUUAAAGGGUGCGUAGGCGGUGCGUUAAGUCAGUGGUAAAAUCCCGCAGCUCAACUGCGGAACUGCCAUUGAUACUGGCGCACUUGAGUACGGACGAGGUAGGCGGAAUUUAUGGUGUAGCGGUGAAAUGCAUAGAUACCAUAAAGAACACCGAUAGCGAAGGCAGCUUACUAGACCGUAACUGACGCUCAG
rnacentral:rRNA from 1 species